UUUAAUAGGUUCCUAUAACCAAGUGGCUUCUCUGACGCUAAGAAAUCUGAGGAGACGCCAAUGUCAUAAACGUCAGUCUUCCUGUAAGGAAAGAGUAAAACGCUGGGGUUUCUGAGCGGAAGCCUGUGUUCACCAGGAACCACGGGCCGGCUUUCCCCGACGGCCUCCGUUUCUGCCUGUACCUCACGCCGCCACAGGACAGAGGCGGGCGCUGGGCUUUCUGGUCUGGCUUAGCGUGCUUGACCAAAGGUGAUGAUGACUUAGUGGGCUAAGGUCAUGCUCUCCCUGCCUCCCAAUCAAUAAUUUAAUGUGACUUAUCAGAAAGAGAGAGAACUGUUUACUUUAAAACCCCGGAUCCCAUAAAGGGAGAGGGAAAGACCUAAAACCCACAGAAGCUCGGGGCUUGCGCCCAGGCGGCCCGGCACAGCCCAGCAGAAAUGGGGGGUGGUGGGGGGGGUGGAAGGUGCUGUCCACUGGCCAGAGAAGGGCCCAGGCCCAGGCCCAGACCCAGGCCCAGGCAAGACAGACACGGACUGGAAGAUUGUGGAGACGCCUCAGGCACACAGGGGCCACCCGGAGAAGUGGAGACACGCUCAGACCCCGCUGGAAGAGCCUGAGAGGUGAAAUGGGUCCAAGCCUUUGCCAGAUGGAGAGUUCUGCAAGUUCUCUUCCAGUUCACCUCCCAGGGCUUCUUCCUAACUGAGGCCAGGACACUUCUGGAGUCUCUUGUCACGGUCAACAACAUCCCAUGAGAGGCCGGGAAGUGGGGGUUUCUGUUCUAAGUCCCGCAGGCAAAGCCAGAGCAGAUGAGCCUGACUAUGGGGGAGGAACCCGAGAUAGUUCAUGACAAGAGCGUGUCCACCAUGGCUGUGCCCAGAGUGCCAAGAGUUGGCGUGACUGGGGCCAUCUGGACUUCUAGAGUUUGUAUUCGGUGUGAGUCAUGGCAAAGCCGUCUGAAGAGAGCAGGGCUACCAGUGGGCCAUGUGGCACAUUCCUGCUACCUUGCAAAUGACCGCACCCUGUCAGGGCAAGUGAGAGUCUCGGACUGAACCAGAAGAAGUCAGUCGCUUCGCAGGAGGGUAAGCAAAUCAACACACUCAAGAAGGUAAGGAAAAAAGGAGGCAGGGUUCAACCUCCAAUCCCAUGGAGACUGAGAGACUUUUGUAAUGUGCUAAUAACUGCACAUUCUAGGUUGAAGAGGGUGAUUUUGUGGUCUGCAUAUGAAUAAGAGCCAUUUUUACGAAAAAAAAAUGCCAAAGGGUGCAUAUUCAGUUGUUAAAAAGGAGGCAGUUUUAUGGCCACAGCAAGGUUCUGGCCAAAUGGUAACCACUCAGUUAUCCUGGGGGAAAAAAGAAACCGGCCCCCAACCUUUGCCUUUCCUAGCAUUUGGGGGAAAAUAAAGGAUCAGGUGAAAAUGGUUUAUUUCCUCUUCUUCUCCAUCGUGGGCAGGAGUUCAAAUAGCAGUUAGAAACCAUUUUUAACAGGAAACCCAGGAAAACAGAAGGGAUUUAUUCAUAGGAGGCUCCCUUUUGCUAGAAAAUGAGUAUUAUUAACAAAAAAUUGAACAGUUCCUCUCUCUCCAUUUCCCCCCUCUCCUUACCUCCCUUCAUCUCCCACCCACUACUAUGGUGGAAAAUGACUAUGGCGAAUAAGAUUUAAAACCUGAGCACCAUCGGAUGCCUUCGCAUCCGAUAUAUGUUCCCGAGAGUAAAUUACAGCACAUUCAAACGCCACAUCCCCAUGCAAAAUAAUGCCAAUCUCCUUAGACUGCAGAAUUUACUGGCAAUGGAUGGGGAUCGACGAGGAGGUAAGAGCUGAGGAGGACCCAUUGAUCUGGUCGUAUUAUUACAGUUUACAAUACGGUCUUCCACGGAGUCUUUGUCUCCUAAAAUCAGUUCCCGCUAGGGAUUCUCUGGCUCUUAACCCUCUUAGCAAAUCGAUGCAAACAGAUUUCGCAUCCACUUCCAUAGGGUGUCUCAUUCCUGCCGGUGGGAGGCCUUUGCAGGGGUGGUAACCAAGCACAAGGCAGCGGGUCCCUUUGGUUGCUCAACUGUUCCCGACAGAAGCCUGACAUCUUUGUCUUCCUGUUGCUCAAGACGCUCCCCGGUCGUGACCCCUGUUUUCUCUGCUCAGGUCACUCUGUGGAGCUGGGAAGCUUCCCUGAUGGUGGCCACGGGCAAUGGUGGAAUGUGGAGGUGAUGUUAGCACCUUCGUGGCUACAGAUUUUCCUUAGCAGAGCUGUGGAGUGUGACAAUGGUGUUUGUGUCCAAACUGUCAAACGCCAUUAUCACACUAAAUAGCUACUGUUAGGCCAUCCCUCCGCUCGAUAAACGCCUUGGCAUCCAUUCGGUUUGGGCAAGAAGGUUUAUGUUAUAGCAGUGUGUGUUCCCAGUCCGGAAUCCCGGAGCGAAUUCAGGCCUGUUGGCGCUCAGAGCCGGUACAUCACCCAGACUUUAGCUGAGGAUGAAUUUUCUUGAUUUCUGGAGUCAAUAAAAAAUAGGGCAGUGCUCCCCAGAGCACCCACCACAAGGGCAGGCGUGCGGUCGUUGUUCAACCCGUGCGUAUUGAGUUGAGUAGUGAGCGAAAUGUGAGAUGCGGAAGCAAAAAGUGGGUCAAAUCUAGGAUAAAUAAACCACAGGGUUCUAGGAGCAAAAGUAAGGCGUGCGGGUUCCUCACUCUGCAUCACACAAAAGCAAUCUUCUAAUAAACGUUCACGUGGCUUCACUGACCUUCCCGAAAUUCUAGGACGUGUUCGAUCUCCACGGAUUUUCACCACG